rnacentral:rRNA from 1 species
UACGGAGGGGGCUAGCGUUGUUCGGAAUUACUGGGCGUAAAGCGCACGUAGGCGGCUUUGUAAGUUAGAGGUGAAAGCCCGGGGCUCAACCCCGGAAUUGCCUUUAAGACUGCAUCGCUAGAAUUGUGGAGAGGUAAGUGGAAUUCCGAGUGUAGAGGUGAAAUUCGUAGAUAUUCGGAAGAACACCAGUGGCGAAGGCGACCUACUGGACACAUAUUGACGCUGAGGUGCGAAAGCGUGGGGAGCAAACAGG